rnacentral:rRNA from 1 species
CAAAGGUUUGGUCCUGGCCUUAUAAUCAAUUAUUACUCAACUUACACAUGCAAGUCUCCGCAUCCCUGUGAAAAUGCCCUCAAANCCCCUUCAGGGGUCAGGAGCUGGUAUCAGGCUCGAUCCUCAGCCCACGACACCUAGCUAUGCCACACCCACAAGGGUAUACAGCAGUGAUUAACAUUGACCAUAAGCGCAAGCUUGACUCAGUCAGAGUAAGUAGAGCCGGCAAAUCUGGUGCCAGCCGCCGCGGCCACACCAGGNNGGCUCAAACUGAUUAUAUUCGGCGUAAAGCGUGAUUAAAGCCAACUUAAACUGCAGUUAAACUGGAGCUAAACUGUANAAACCCAUGANACCCAGGAAACACAAAAACGAAAGUCACUGCAAUAAAAUCCACUUGACCUCACGACAGUUAGGACACAAACUGGGAUUAGAUACCCCACUAUGCCUUACCGUAAACUUUAACUUACACCAAAAUCGCCAGGGAACUACGAGCAAUGCUUAAAACCCAAAGGACUUGACGGUGCCCCAUANCCACCUAGAGGAGCCUGUCCUAUAAUCGAUGACCCCCGUUCAACCUCACCACUCUUUGNCCCAUCAGUCUGUAUACCUCCGUCGUCAGCUUACCACGUGAGCGACUUNCAGUAAGCAAAAAGGUCCCNCCACCAAAACGUCAGGUCA